AGUGAACGCUGGCGGUAGGCCUAACACAUGCGAGUCGAACGGCAGCACAGUAAGAGCUUGCUCUUACGGGUGGCGAGUGGCGGACGGGUGAGGAAUACAUCGGAAUCUACUUUUUCGUGGGGGAUAACGUAGGGAAACUUACGCUAAUACCGCAUACGACCUACGGGUGAAAGCAGGGGAUCUUCGGACCUUGCGCGAUUGAAUGAGCCGAUGUCGGAUUAGCUAGUUGGCGGGGUAAAGGCCCACCAAGGCGACGAUCCGUAGCUGGUCUGAGAGGAUGAUCAGCCACACUGGAACUGAGACACGGUCCAGACUCCGACGGGAGGCAGCAGUGGGGAAUAUUGGACAAUGGGCGCAAGCCUGAUCCAGCCAUACCGCGUGGGUGAAGAAGGCCUUCGGGUUGGAAAGCCCUUUUGUUGGGAAAGAAAAGCAGCAGGUUAAUACCCCGCUGUUCUGACGGUACCCAAAGAAUAAGCACCGGCUAACUUCG
rnacentral:rRNA from 1 species